rnacentral:rRNA from 1 species
GAUGAACGCUGGCGGCAGGCUUAACUCAUGCAAGUCGAACGGGCCCUUCGGGGUCAGUGGCAGACGGGUGAGUAACGCGUGGGAACGUGCCCUUCAGUUUGGGAUAACCCAGGGAAACUUGGGCUAAUACCGGAUACGUGCGAGAGCAGAAAGAUUUAUCGCUGAAGGAUCGGCCCGCGUCUGAUUAGCUGGUUGGUAGGGUAAUGGCCUACCAAGGCGACGAUCAGUAGCUGGUCUGAGAGGAUGAUCAGCCACAUUGGGACUGAGACACGGCCCAAACUCGUACGGGAGGCAGCAGUGGGGAAUAUUGGACAAGGGGCGCAAGCCUGAUCCAGCCAUGCCGCGUGAGUGAUGAAGGCCUUAGGGUUGUAAAGCUCUUUCAGUGGGGACGAUAAUGACGGUACCCGCAGAAGAAGCCCCGGCUAACUUCGUGCCAGCCGCCGCCGUAA